rnacentral:tRNA from 1 species
UUAAUUGAAACCAAAAAGAGGUCUAUCACUGUUAAUGAUAAAAAUGAACAAUAUUCCAAUUAAG